UUCCGUAGGUGAACCUGCGGAAGGAUCAUUC
rnacentral:rRNA from 4 species